CUCUUUUGUGUCAUCUUACCCUUUACAGAGAAGAUAGCAGAUCGCUGUGAGGAGUUGUGAGCUUUCCCUGGAGGAGAGAACGGGGGUUUUUGGAGAAGACCCAGGCCCAGGGGUUCCUUCAGAGUUUGCUCCUGAGCUCCCUGUAUUCUCCCCACAGUUUAAAGGCUGGACUAGAUGGGUGCUGGGUGCCUUGUGCCUCCUUGUUCUUGACAGCCCCCAACCCUCACCCCUCUCUGCAGGGUGUUGGGCCUGAGGUUAGUGAUCAUGUGUUUGUGUUUGUCCCUUACCUCCCAAGGGUACUAAGGGAGGCGCUCUCCUGAUGGAAAAUAAAGUCAAGAGACAGAGGGGGACAGCACAUGGAUCCCCAGCAGAGCAGAGCAGAGCAGCUUGGCUCUCCUGGUGCCUGCCAUGUGUCUGUCCGUCCUGUUCCUCUCAGCCUCAUCAUGUGGGUGUGAAUUCUCUGAAGUGUGUGAGGCCCUCGCCUGUCUGCAUCAGAGAGAGCUGGGUCAGCCUGGGUAACGCAGAUACCACCAGCCAGCGUCAGGCUCUGAGACAAGCUCACCCACCCCCUCGCACUCAGACCCACCCUUCCCCAGACACCCUGUCUCUUCCAUCCCCUCCUGGUGCCCUUGCAGACUGGUGUUGGGUGUCAGGCAGCAAUAAACAUGGACAACUAAUGGUGGCGGAGGAAAUUAGUCAACUCACCAGUGAGCCAGUGCUGGCUGUGCCACCAGGCAAGGGGAGGGGCAGAGGCCUGGCUGCCCAGUCUGGCUUCUCUUCCAGGCCCUCAUCUUGACAGGCCACAUUGGGCAAGAUGAGGCUUGGCCCAGGAGCUGCUGGGGAUGGAAAUGUUGAUGAAAUCUUGUGUGUUGCCAGGACAACUUUCAUUUCUAUCCUGCCACACCCAGGCCUGGCCAGAGCCUCCUACAAUGAAACACAGAACAGAUUCUAGGAACGCAUGGGUUUCAAGAGAAAGCAAAAUCCCAUCCUGGGAGACCUGCCCCUGGAACCCUGGGUCCUCAGACAGCUCAGUCAGGAAG
rnacentral:lncRNA from 1 species